rnacentral:misc_RNA from 1 species
GAUGAAGAACGUAGCGAAAUGCGAUACGUAGUGUGAAUUGCAGAAUUCAGUGAAUCAUCGAAUCUUUGAACGCACAUUGCACCUCUCGGUAUUCCGGGAGGUAUGCCUGUUCGAGCGUCAUUUGUACCCUCAAGCUCUGCUUGGUGUUGGGUGUUUGUUCCGCCUCUGUGUGUGAACUCGCCUCAAAACAAUUGGCAGCCGGCGUACUUGUUUCGGAGCGCAGCACAUUUUGCGAUCCAGAUCAACGUACAGCGGCAUCCAAGAAGCCUUAUUUAACGCUCUUGACCUCGGAUCAGGUAGGGAUACCCGCUGAACUUAAGCACAUCAAUAAGCGGAGGA